GACGAACGCUGGCGGCGUGCUUAACACAUGCAAGUCGAGCGGUAAGGCCCUUUCGGGGGUACACGAGCGGCGAACGGGUGAGUAACACGUGGGUGACCUGCCCCCUACUCUGGGAUAAGCCUGGGAAACUGGGUCUAAUACUGGAUAUGACCUCAUGUCGCAUGGUGUGGGGUGGAAAGUUUUUUCGGUGGGGGAUGGGCCCGCGGCCUAUCAGCUUGUUGGUGGGGUGAUGGCCUACCAAGGCGACGACGGGUAGCCGGCCUGAGAGGGCGACCGGCCACACUGGGACUGAGACACGGCCCAGACUCCUACGGGAGGCAGCAGUGGGGAAUAUUGCGCAAUGGGCGGAAGCCUGACGCAGCGACGCCGCGUGGGGGAUGACGGCCUUCGGGUUGUAAACCUCUUUCGGCCCCGACGAAGCGUGAGUGACGGUAGGGGUAGAAGAAGCACCGGCCAACUACGUGCCAGCCGCCGCGGUAACAC
rnacentral:rRNA from 1 species